rnacentral:rRNA from 1 species
CCUACGGGUGGCACCAGUGGGGAAUAUUGGACAAUGGGCGCAAGCCUGAUCCAGCCAUGCCGCGUGAGUGAAGAAGGCCCUAGGGUUGUAAAGCUCUUUCAGCGGGGACGAUAAUGACGGUACCCGCAGAAGAAGCCCCGGCUAACUUCGUGCCAGCAGCCGCGGUAAUACGAAGGGGGCUAGCGUUGUUCGGAAUUACUGGGCGUAAAGGGCGCGUAGGCGGACGAUUAAGUCAGGGGUGAAAUCCCAGGGCUCAACCCUGGAACUGCCUUUGAUACUGGCCGUCUGGAGUUCGGGAGAGGUGUGUGGAAUUCCGAGUGUAGAGGUGAAAUUCGUAGAUAUUCGGAAGAACACCAGAAGCGAAGGCGGCUCACUGGCCCGAGACUGACGCUGAGGCGCGAAAGCGUGGGGAGCAAACAGGAUUAGAUACCCGAGUAGUC